GGGUCCUACGGGGGGCAGCAGUGAGGAAUAUUGGUCAAUGGUCGGGAGACUGAACCAGCCAAGCCGCGUGAGGGAUGAAGGUACAGAGUAUCGUAAACCUCUUUUGUCAGGGAACAAAGGCGGGGACGUGUCCCCGGAUGAGUGUACCUGAAGAAAAAGCAUCGGCUAACUCCGUGCCAGCAGCCGCGGUAAUACGGAGGAUGCGAGCGUUAUCCGGAUUUAUUGGGUUUAAAGGGUGCGCAGGCGGUCUGUUAAGUCAGCGGUCAAAACCCGGGGCUCAACCCUGGGAGUGCUUUUGAAACUGU
rnacentral:rRNA from 1 species